GGGUCAGUAGGUUGGUCAUGCCACUGGUAUGUACUGGUCUCACUGAUUCCUCCCCCUUGAAGAACUGUAAUGCCAUUAAUUUGGUGUUGCAGGGAAUCAGGACUGUUACUUUGAAAAAAUUAGAGUGUUUAAAGCAGGCUUUAGCUUGAAUACAUUAGCAUGAAAUAAUGAAAUAGGACGUUUGAUCCUAUUUUGUUGGUUUCUAGGAUUGACGUA
rnacentral:rRNA from 1 species